UAGACAGAUUUUUGUAUUCGACUGUAUUUACGGAGUGAAACAGGGGAUUACAACUGUUUUUAAACGGAAAGUGAAUCAAUUAACAUAAUAGACUCCU
rnacentral:pre_miRNA from 1 species